GAUGAACGCUGGCGGCGUGCCUAAUACAUGCAAGUCGAGCGAACAGACGAGGAGCUUGCUCCUUCGACGUUAGCGGCGGACGGGUGAGUAACACGUAGGUAACCUACCUAUAAGACUGGGAUAACUUCGGGAAACCGGAGCUAAUACCGGAUAAUAUUUCGAACCGCAUGGUUCGAUAGUGAAAGAUGGCUUUGCUAUCGCUUAUAGAUGGACCUGCGCCGUAUUAGCUAGUUGGUAAGGUAACGGCUUACCAAGGCAACGAUACGUAGCCGACCUGAGAGGGUGAUCGGCCACACUGGAACUGAGACACGGUCCAGACUCCUACGGGAGGCAGCAGUAGGGAAUCUUCCGCAAAGGGCGAAAGCCUGACGGAGCAACGCCGCGUGAGUGAUGAAGGUCUUCGGAUCGUAAAACUCUGUUAUUAGGGAAGAACAAACGUGUAAGUAACUGUGCACGUCUUGACGGUACCUAAUCAGAAAGCCACGGCUAACUACGUG
rnacentral:rRNA from 1 species